AAAAUACACGCACGCGCCGGCCCUCCAUCAGAUAGCGCCGCCGCGCCCAAAUCGACCCCCAAAUCCUUCGUGCCCUCCACCAGACACCACCGCCGCCGCCCCCAACUAGACCACCGCCGCCGUCGCCCCCCAUCAUCCCAUCCGACCUAACCAUCCCGCCGCCGCCGAACGCCCUCCACCCGGAGCACUUGCGUCGUCGCCCCAAACCAUGCCAGAGCGGCGGCGCCCAAGCACCGAAUUGACCGCAGCCGCCAACCACUCCAGAUCCAAGCCGGCGGCCGCCCUCCACCCAGACAACUAUCGCCGCCCCCCCUCCCCAACCACUCUAGAGCGGCGCCACUGAGACGCCACUCCAGACCGCAAGCGGCGACCACCCUCCUCCGCCGAAUGUCUUCCCUCACCACCACCCAUCUCGCGAGCUUCCUCCCCGACCAGGCCUCCUCCCCACAAGCUUCACCGGAGAACCAAGCGGGGACCCCUCCUCUACGUCCUCUACCCCAGGCAGCGGAGCGUCGACCCUCCUCGCGAGCAGCUCUGCCUUUCCCUGGACAGCGCUGCCUUCUCUAAUUCCUUGCUCCAACCAUGAGAAUUUGACAGUUUUUUUAGGUGACAGGGGAGUGGAGUUUGGGGGGCGUGCGUUCCGGCCGGCCCCUGGUUGUGCGAUGCCAGAUCUGCGCGGGAUGUCGGCGAGAGGUUGGUGCUAGGCCUAGUGUGCCGCUGCCUGCUGCAGCCAUGAGAAAUAGCGUGCUACUACAUGCUCGUGCCGGCUACAUGGAUUGAUCGUAUUCUUAAUGGGCUGUGCUUUGAUGCAUAGGUAAAAUUAAAAGUGCCAAAAACCUGGGUGCCCAUGGCCUAGUUUGACCCCAACAAAGCUCCGCCCCAGGUUACCAAACAAUAAAUAGGUUUGUUUUGAUGGUGUACUGAAGAUUACAAGUAUUGUAGAUAAUACACUUUGUUCAUUUCAAGUAUCAGUUAAUUGACUGUUUAUGCUUCACAUUGCUCGAAGACUUGCGAAGCAGUUUUAUGUGUUCUGUAGGGGUGGUAUGCAUCUCUUAUUUUAUUUCUCGGAAAUAAAGGCUAAGACUAUGAGUAUCUGCAUGUCCUAUCAAAUCAUUAUGCCUUCCAACAUUAAGCAAAGUGUAUGAGGCCUAGACUUUGAAUAUUUCCUAUAUUUGAUGGUAGAGUUUUAGCAACUUCCUAGAUUUCUCAAUAUCAUGUCCAAUAGUGUUUAUAGUCUUUCUUUCAUAGAUUUUUACUCACACUUUAAAAGUGUUAUUAACAAAAUUUAUGCGAGCUUAAUGGAGCAUUUGAGUUACACCAAAAUGUCCAAUAGCAAUGGAUUCUGUACAUUGAUAAAAGUCAACAUAUUGCCGGUUAAAUCUAUUUUCACCAAAAUGGUAGAAUUAUAUGUUCCACUGUGCACAUCAUAAUAUUUAGAUUUCUAUAUGCCUUUUAACUACAUUGACUUUGUCAAAACAAUAUUCUGCACUAGAAACAGUACAACAUAUCUCUGAGUCAACUUAUGUAUGCAGAUUGUUAAUAUGAGGUGAAAAACUUUAUCUCAAGUUAUUAUAUGAUCUUAGUUACUCCAGUUUUCAGUAUGGUUGCUCUUGCCGGUCGACUUUAGCUUAGCCGCCAUUUGUGAAUGUUUUGAAUUGAUUUCUCUUCCUGUGUUUGUCGCUCUUCCUAUUUCCAUUCCCGAUGCCAUAGUAAUAUAUAAUUGUUUCUGAUGAAUAUAAGACAUUCAGUGUGCUUAAGGACAUGGGCGAAAUCAAGUAUAAUUUUAAGAGGAGCAUUUAUGAGAUCGAGCAUCUACAUGAUUUCUCAAUGCAAAGCUCCAACCUGUGUUUGUGCACUUAUUCUUCCAAUAUAUUCUUAGGAUAUGCCUAACUACAAUGUGACAGCUCCUACCUGUGUUUGUGCAUUUAUUCUUCCAAUAUAUUCUUAGGAUAUGCCUAACUACAGUGUGCCAGCUCCUACCUGUGUUUGUGCACUUAUUCUUCCAAUAUAUUCUUAGGAUAUGCCUAACUACAGUUUUGUCACAUGGAUUCCUCCUUAUUUUGUUAUCAACUCACUUGAACUCAAAGUGGUCGGACCCUUCCCCGGACCCUGCGCAAGUGGGAGCUACAUGCACCGGGCUGCCCUUUUUUUGUUAAUGUUACUGACUUGAAUUGUUUCUGAAUGUAUUAGGUAUCAAUUUGUCCAUCUUUUACUAAAUACAAAUAAAAUACAAAAAUGUCGCAACAAAAUGGGGUCUGAUUUCACAACUAAACAUAUUUUCUAUACCUCAUUCUCAACUAUAUGCUCUAGAUUAUUAUGUUAUAGUUUAAAAUUCAAAUAUAAAGAUAAUUACAAUUGUGAUCUGAUUCACAACCUAUAUACAGGAACCUGCACCAUUUUAGUCCAUUUUAAUCUGUAUCCAUUUUAGUAAACAACAAAGUUAGGCAAAAUGGGAAUACAGAGGAAAAAGGAAAUAGCCCACCUAAAGAUUUCCCCGUAACCAUUUUGAUUUGUACAAGUGGUAAUUUAACCUUCCAGUAUGCAUAUAUUGUGACUUCACUUAGGAUGGCAGAUCUCAGGCUCCUUAAGCAAGCCCUUGAUAGACAUGAAGACCACUAAGUUCACAUAUUUGUGUGCUGAAAAAGUUUUGGCCCUCUGCUGUCACUGAUUGUGUCCUAAUUUUUUGUAUAGGGACACUGAUUGCUUAUUUAUCUUGCAGGGUUACUAAAAUGCGGUGUCUACCUUGUGUUGGACAAACUUGAACUCCAGGUCUACCGGAGAUUAGUGAAGAAAAUCCAUAUCAUCCAGAGGGAGAAGGAACCAUUUGAGGCACAUCAAAUCAAGCUAGAGGUCUCUGCAACCAUUUUAGUCGAGUAGCAGUUUUGCGAAAGGUGACUGUGGCAAACAUUUUAUCCUGUUACAAGCACAUUAUUUGGAUGAAAUGGCGUUUACUGUUGGUGGCUUAUUUGUAUGCCUAACAAGUUGGGUGCUUUUCUUCAUGGUUUCCCAAAGAUACACUACUUGAUCGAGAUUUGGAUGAUGUACAAGCUGCUGAAGGUUUGCAAGAUCUACUAUUAAGUUGGUGGAGUGAUAAUGUAAUGCGCCUUGUUUGUUGAACCUGGAGACAUUGGCAAGUUCUGCUCAUUUUGGUGGUUGUUUUGGCACAUAGGCCACUAUAUGGCCAUUUUGGUUGCGUGACACAUUUCGAAACAUAUAUACUUCUCCCUUUGUGGAACUACUUCAUUUUGGUUGUGUGGCACAUGUAUCUAGAAACAUUUAUGUACUCUUUUUGUGCACAAUCUGCUUAUAUACAUUCUUAUGUUUAUGGAAUGAAGUUUAAGGUUUCUGAUGAGACCUA